GCAGAUGUGGCGAAGUGGCUUAACGCGAUUGGCUGCAACCCAAUUAUCUCGCAGGUUCAAAUCCUGUCUUCUGCU
rnacentral:tRNA from 11 species